UACGUAGGGUGCAAGCGUUGUCCGGAAUUAUUGGGCGUAAAGGGCUCGUAGGCGGUCCGUCACGUCGGGAGUGAAAACUUGGGGCUUAACCCCAAGCCUGCUUCCGAUACGGGCGGACUAGAGGUAGGCAGGGGAGAACGGAAUUCCUGGUGUAGCGGUGAAAUGCGCAGAUAUCAGGAGGAACACCGGUGGCGUAGGCGGGUCUCUGGGCAGUAACUGACGCUGAGGAGCGAAAGCGUGGGGAGCGAACAGG
rnacentral:rRNA from 1 species